rnacentral:tRNA from 1 species
GGAAGGGUGGCUGAGCGGACGAAGGCACUCGGUUGGAAGCCGAGCGGAGUGUUAAAGCUCCCGUGGGUUCGAAUCCCACCCCUUCCGCCA